GGUUAAGCGACUAAGCGUACACGGUGGAUGCCCUGGCAGUCAGAGGCGAUGAAGGACGUGCUAAUCUGCGAAAAGCGUCGGUAAGGUGAUAUGAACCGUUAUAACCGGCGAUGUCCGAAUGGGGAAACCCAGUGUGAUUCGUCACACUAUCGUUAACUGAAUACAUAGGUUAACGAGGCGAACCGGGGGAACUGAAACAUCUAAGUACCCCGAGGAAAAGAAAUCAACCGAGAUUCCCCCAGUAGCGGCGAGCGAACGGGGAGCAGCCCAGAGUCUGAAUCAGCUUGUGUGUUAGUGGAACGGUCUGGAAAGUCCGACGGUACAGGGUGAUAGUCCCGUACACCAAAAUGCACAGGUUGUGAACUCGAAGAGUAGGGCGGGACACGUGGUAUCCUGUCUGAAUAUGGGGGGACCAUCCUCCAAGGCUAAAUACUCCUGACUGACCGAUAGUGAACCAGUACCGUGAGGGAAAGGCGAAAAGAACCCCGGCGAGGGGAGUGAAAAAGAACCUGAAACCGUGUACGUACAAGCAGUGGGAGCACCUU
rnacentral:rRNA from 1 species